rnacentral:piRNA from 1 species
UAAGCUCUUUUUCUGGAAGACACAGCUUG